AUGAAAUGGAGAGAAGUCCGGUGUUGCUUUAAAGAGCUCCACUAUGUGGAGGCAAAAAUACUAACUGGACCUUAUAAAAGGGGGUCGGAGACUGUGUGGGUUGAAUCUUUCCCUGCUGAGGCAAAAAUACUAACUGGACAAAGUGUUGGGGGAAGGAUACUCACAAGAUGCGCUGAAUUAUCUAAAUUCAAGAGCUUCAGCAAAGUUUACUGA
rnacentral:rRNA from 1 species